rnacentral:rRNA from 1 species
CAGUCGCCGCGGGAAUACGGAGGGUGCAAGCGUUAAUCGGAAUUACUGGGCGUAAAGCGCACGCAGGCGGUUUGUUAAGUCAGAUGUGAAAUCCCCGAGCUUAACUUGGGAACUGUAUUUGAAACUGGCAAGCUAGAGUCUUGUAGAGGGGGGUAGAAUUCCAGGUGUAGCGGUGAAAUGCGUAGAGAUCUGGAGGAAUACCGGUGGCGAAGGCGGCCCCCUGGACAAAGACUGACGCUCAGGUGCGAAAGCGUGGGGAGCAAACAGGAUUAGAUACCCGAGUAGUCCCUGUCUCUUAUAC